rnacentral:lncRNA from 1 species
UACUCUUGACUGCAGCAACAACUUGGAUUGCAGGAAUAAAAUGGCCUGUGACAUAAAUUCAGAAG